CCCCAGACUCCUACGGGAGGCAGCAGUGGGGAAUAUUGGGCAAUGGAGGCAACUCUGACCCAGCAACGCCGCGUGAAUGAUGAAGGUCUUCGGAUUGUAAAGUUUUUUUCUAAGGGAAGAAGAAAGUGACGGUACCUUAGGAAUAAGCCUCGGCUAACUACGUGCCAGCAGCCGCGGUAAUACGUAGGGGGCAAGCGUUAUCCGGAUUUACUGGGUGUAAAGGGUGCGUAGGUGGCAUGGCAAGUCAGAAGUGAAAGCCCGGGGCUCAACCCCGCGGACUGCUUUUGAAACUGUCAGGCUGGAGUACAGGAGAGGUAAGCGGAAUUCCUAGUGUAGCGGUGAAAUGCGUAGAUAUUAGGAGGAACACCAGUGGCGAAGGCGGCUUACUGGACUGUAACUGACGCUGAGGCACGAAAGCGUGGGGAGCAAACAGGAUUAGAUACCCGAGUACAA
rnacentral:rRNA from 1 species